UGAGGAAUAUUGGUCAAUGGGCGGGGAGCCUGAACCAGCCAAGUCGCGUGAGGGAAGACGGUCCUAUGGAUUGUAAACCUCUUUAGGCGGGGAGCAAUGCCGGGCACGCGUGCCCGGAGGGAGAGUACCCGCAGAAUAAGCAUCGGCUAACUCCGUGCC
rnacentral:rRNA from 1 species